UCAAAACAAACGCGAGUGCCGAUGAUGUGCAACCAGAUGUAAUUUUUCGGUAAUGGAAUUUAAGCUUUAAUUCUUGAACGAGGCUUCAAAUCCUUUUUAGUUGUUUCGAGUUGAGUUAAGUUAAAGCAAUAAAUUAAUCGGAAUAGUCUCCUUAAAACUGUAUGCUGUUGGAGUAAGACCGUCACCCUUUGAGUGGAAUGCCUCGCAGCUCCCAAGAGUGGGUCCCAGGUGAACCUCACCCUUGCAAAAGAGGCUAUCGUUGGUGGAAUUUCUGUCACACGUGCUUCCAAGACUUUAGAAUCCCCAGGUAUACAUUGCAGGAUCACGUCGACAAUGUUUUUUUGUAAUAUUUCAGUGUUAAUAGACAUGCCAUAAAAUACUUACCACUAUUGUGAGGAAUUCGGUCAAGUAACAUUUACACAUUCACAUAAAAGCUGGAAUAAGAGCAAUGAGAGAAUGCAACGGAAGUAGAGAUAGGGUUAGAGAUGAACAAUGAUGAAUAUAUAAAUAGGAAAGGAAAGAGAGAGACGAGAAGAUCAAGAGAGUGAGAACAACAGAAGUCAGAUGAAAUGAUCGCUGAAUUAGUGAAUCAUUUCCCGACCAGACCGGUAACUGAGUGCAACUCAAUAAAAUACACGUAGAAAAUAUUUAACAAAAUUCAACGAGUAAUUAAGUCGUUACAAGUUAAACACUAGAUUGUGAAAAUAACAGGAGCUGAUAGAAUCAGGUAUAUAUAUACAUAUAAAAAAAAGUACCAUUCGACUGGAUUUGAAUGGAAAAAGGCUCAUAGUGGAAAUUCUCUUCCUCUCUGUUCGACUAGGACCAAUUGAUUUGGGUUUAAUAGCGAGUAUAGCCAUCGCCAUCAUAACCCCGAAAUCCUCAGCGAGCAGAGUGCGGAGAUCGCGUUCAACCACCGAUCCAGUAUUUCAGUGAAGGACAUCACACCACACUCCACAUAGAGUAUGUAACUUAAGCUGAUCAUCGAAGUCCUCAUCCAACGAGAAUAAGGAACCAAGGUGGACCCAAAGCGCAGGUGACGCAAUCCGAGUCGACCACCAACCUGCGCCAACCGCCAACCAACCAACUUGUAUUGUUUUUCGGGACAUAUCUUAAGAAUUUGAAGUGGCGGAAGAAUUGAUUUGCCUUUUCCUAAGAAAGGAACGACCAAAACGCUUCGAUAUCUUCAACGCAUCCCGUAAAGUUCAGCACAAAUUCGAUCCAUUGUUGAAGAAAAUUUC